AAAGGUGCGGAGGAGCUGGAGGCCGGCUUCUCCGAGCUUCUCGGAGACAAGAAUGGUGGGUUUGGGAGGGGUAAGGAUUGAAUCACGGAGAGGGGUGGGGUCGGAGAAGGAGAUGGAGGCGGAUUCAACGGCGGUUUUGAGAACGUUGAGAACAGGAGGAGAGGACCUAUUUCUAUAUGGGGCGUAGAGGAGUUUGAAGGAAGCAGAGUUGUUGGAGGGAGUAGGAAGGAAGGAAAGCUUAUUAGUAGGAGUAGGAGAGGAAGGAGGUAAGUCCGAGGAUUGCUGAGUUAUGAGUUUCGUAGAAAUGAAUGCUGCAGCUGCUGCUGUUGCAGAGGAAGCCAUCUCCGUUAUGCGGAGCUGUCUUCU
rnacentral:lncRNA from 1 species